UACGGGGGGGGCUAGCGUUGCUCGGAAUCACUGGGCGUAAAGGGUGCGUAGGCGGGCCUUUAAGUCAGGGGUGAAAUCCUGGAGCUCAACUCCAGAACUGCCUUUGAUACUGAAGAUCUUGAGUUCGGGAGAGGUGAGUGGAACUGCGAGUGUAGAGGUGAAAUUCGUAGAUAUUCGCAAGAACACCAGUGGCGAAGGCGGCUCACUGGCCCGAUACUGACGCUGAGGCACGAAAGCGUGGGGAGCAAACAGG
rnacentral:rRNA from 1 species